GACUACCGGGGUAUCUAAGCCUGUUUGCUACCCACGCUUUCGCUUCUCAGCGUCAGGAAAUGUCCAGAGAACCGCCUUCGCCACCGGUGUUCCUCCUGAUAUCUGCGCAUUCCACCGCUCCACCAAGAAUUCCGUUCUCCCCUACAUCCCUCAAGUCUGCCCGUAUCGAGAGCAGGCUCAGGGUUGAGCCCUGAGUUUUCACUUUCGACGCAAUAGACCGCCUACAAGCUCUUUACGCCCAAUAAUUCCGGACAACGCUCGCACCCUACGUAUCACCGCGGCUGCUGGCACGUAGUUGGCCGGUGCUUCUUCUGCAGGUACCGUCACGUGUUGCUUCGUCCCUGCUGAAAGCGGUUUACAACCCGAAGGCCGUCAUCCCGCACGCGGCGUUGCUGCGUCAGGCUUUCGCCCAUUGCGCAAUAUUCCCCACUGCUGCCGCCCGUAGG
rnacentral:rRNA from 1 species